UACAGAGGUCCCAAGCGUUGUUCGGAUUCAUUGGGCGUAAAGGGUGCGUAGGCGGCUUGGCAAGUGGAUGGUGAAAUCCCUCGGCUUAACCGAGGAACUGCCGUCCAAACUGCUUUGCUUGAGGCCGGGAGAGGUGAGUGGAAUUCCCAGUGUAGCGGUGAAAUGCGUAGAUAUCUGGAGGAACACCGGUGGCGAAGGCGGGUCUCUGGGCAGUAACUGACGCUGAGGAGCGAAAGCGUGGGGAGCGAACAGG
rnacentral:rRNA from 1 species